CAAGGUCAAAGCCGCGUAUGGAAACUUGGAAAGUCAUGGUCUUUGGUCUUUGAUAUUCAGUCUUGUUUUUAUCUUCUAUGUUCUAGCUUUCUAUAAAUUUUUUUUUCGUUUUCUACAACUUUUGACUCAAAAUUGUCGAUUUUGAACUCUGUAAAGGCUAAGUCUUUUUUCUGAAUAAGAUCAUCCAAAUUUUUAUCAAAACUUUUUCUUGUUUCUUUGAACCUUCUGAGAGUGAUUCUAAGCCUGUUCUUUCUGAACAACCGGCCUUGCUGUGAAGCUGAAGCCACAGUAGUAUCAAGUAAUCUCCAUCAUUACUUGUGUCUCCAUUCAAUCAUCUAUUCUUCCUUCUUCAACGUCAUAAGUCGACCCACCCUAUGAGGAAUUUCCUAAUUUAAAUCGUCCGAUGGAUAUUAAAGAAUAGAUCCAUCUCUUUGUGUAGAGCAAUUGGGUCAAGGGUUUGCCAUUUCUAAUCUUUUCCAAAGAACUGGUCCUUAUUAGGAGUGUGUUAAGUAGUAUCAGAGCCACUUUGGAACCGGUUUAUCAUCUGAGGUGGUGUUGUUCUACAAGAAUCAGUUCGAAGAAUCUCAAAAGAAGGCUAACAAAAACAAGGAGGAAGGAGAGCUGCUAAGAAAAAUGAAGGAGCAAGCAACUACUACAGUUCAGAUGUUAAAGAAUCUCAAAGGUCUAGGCGAUAUGCGUGGGCGAGAGACACUAGAAGAAAACAUUCGCUUUACCACAAAAUUUUAUAACGAAUAUAUGGCGUCGUAAAGUUACGUGUGCUUAACGUGGCGUUUACGUCGAACACAGAAUUCGUCGUAAAGGAGAAGUAAUAUUACGAUAAAAAGAAUUCGUCGUACAUUCGUUGUAAAUGAACAACUCCUUUACGACGAAAAAAACAGACGAAGUAAAUUCGUUGUAAAUAAACAACUCCUUUACGACGAAUUCUUUUACUUCGUUUUAACAACAAUUCAUUAAUGUUAUUAGGUGAAAACGUGUUUUAAAAGGAGUGUACCAAAUUAUAUUUCAUUGUAAAAACCAUGUAAAUGAGAAUUUAAAAUGUUGUAAGCUAUGGUAGAUAUAAAAUAGUUGUAAAAUUUCA